rnacentral:rRNA from 1 species
AAUAAAGAAAAUAAAUAAGGGCGUAUGGGGAAUGCCUAGGCUCUCAGAGGCGAAGAAAGACGUGCCAAGCUGCGAAAAGUUACGGGGAUCUGCUGAGGAGAUUUGAUCCGUAAAUGUCUGAAUGGGGCAACCUGGUAUGUUGAAGACAUAUCGACCAGCAAUGGUAGCGAACCCGGUGAACUGAAACAUCUAAGUAACUGGAGGAAGAGAAAAUAACUAAUGAUUCCCUAAGUAGUGGCGAGCGAACAGGGAAGAGCCCAAACCAAUGUUGUUACGGCAAUAUUGGGGUUGUAGGACCGCAUUUAAGAGAAGUAAUUGAACUGGAAAUGUCUGGGAAGGCAUGCCAUAGCGGGUGAGAGCCCCUUACAGGUAAGAUUAUCAUUUGAGCGGUAUCCUGAGUAGGGCGGGACCGGAGAAAUCCCGUUUGAAACUGCCGGCACCAUCCGGUAAGGCUAAAUACUCCUGAGAGACCGAUAGUGAACCAGUACCGUGAGGGAAAGGUGAAAAGUACCCUGAAUAAGGGGGUGAAAUAGAACCUGAAACCAUACGCUUACAAGCGGUCGGAGCCCUUAAGUGGGGUGACGGCGUGCCUUUUGCAUAAUGAUCCUACGAGUUACUCCUCACUGGCAAGGUUAAGCACUUUUAGGUGCGUAGCCGGAGCGAAAGCGAGUCUGAAUAGGGCGCGUAGUCAGUGGGGGUAGACGCGAAACCUUGUGAUCUACCCAUGGCCAGGAUGAAGUUGCAGUAACAUGCAAUGGAGGUCCGAACUGGUAAACGUUGAAAAGUUUUCGGAUGAGCUGUGGGUAGGGGUGAAAGGCUAAUCAAACUGGGAAAUAGCUCGUACUCCCCGAAAUGUAUUUUGGUACAGCGUCGGGGUAAAGUUUAGCGGAGGUAGAGCUACCAAUAGGACUAGGGGGAGUCAAAUCCUACCAAAUCCUGAUGAACUCCGAAUGCCGCUAAAUAUACCCGGCAGUGAGGGCUUGGGUGCUAAGGUCCAAGUCCGAGAGGGAAAGAACCCAGACUAACAGCUAAGGUCCCAAAAUCUAUCCUAAGUUGAACAAAGGAGGUCCAGUUGCAGAGACAGCCAGGAUGUUUGCUCGGAAGCAGCAAUUCAUUUAAAGAGUGCGUAACAGCUCACUGGUCGAGCGACAGGGCAUCGAUAAUAAACGGGCAUCAAGGGUAGUACCGAAGCUUUAGAUUUAUACUUUAGGAGUAUAAGUGGUAGGGGAGCAUUCCAAGGCCGGUGAAGGCGAAACGCGAGUUUUGCUGGAGGGCUUGGAAAAGCAAAUGUAGGAAUAAGUAACGAUAAUAAGGGUGAGAAUCCCUUACACCGAUAGACUAAGGUUUCCUGAUCAACGUUCGUCGGAUCAGGGUUAGUCGGGACCUAAGGCAAAUCCGUUGUAGUGGCGGAGUAGUCGAUGGACAACUGGUUAAUAUUCCAGUACUUGUGUAUACUGCUAUGGAGAGACGGAGUAGUGAAAAGUUCGCCUGGUGACGGAAUACCAGGUUAAAACCCGUAGAUAUAUUUUGAGUAGGCAAAUCCGCUCGAGAUGUCGAAGGUGAUAGUACAACAAAGCUUCGGCAGCGUUGAUAGUGACUGUAAACAGACUUCCAAGAAAAUCUUCUAUGCUUCAGGUAUAUACGACCCGUACCGCAAACCGACACAGGUAGUCAAGGAGAGAAUCCUGAGGUGCGCGAGUGAUUCACGGCUAAGGAACUCGGCAAAUUAACCCUGUAACUUCGGGAGAAGGGGUGCUUCCUCUAGCGAUAGAGAAGCCGCAGUGAAAAGUCUCAGGCGACUGUUUAACAAAAACACAUGGCUCUGCGAAAUCGAAAGAUAAAGUAUAGGGCCUGACACCUGCCCGGUGCCGGAAGGUUAAGAGGGGGGCUUAGCGUAAGCGACGGUCUGAAUCGAAGCCCCGGUAAACGGCGGCCGUAACUAUAACGGUCCUAAGGUAGCGAAAUUCCUUGUCGGGUAAGUUCCGACCUGCACGAAUGGUGUAACGAUCUGAGAACUGUCUCAGCCGUGAGCUCGGUGAAAUUGUAGUAGCGGUGAAGAUGCCGCUUACCCGUCACGGGACGGAAAGACCCCGUGCACCUUUACUAUAGCUUUGCAUUGAUUUUGGGUAAAUGAUGUGUAGGAUAGGUGGGAGGCUUUGAAGCGGGUACGCUAGUAUUCGUGGAGCCAACGUUGAAAUACCACCCUUUAUUUACUUGGAGUCUAACCCCUGAAUAGGGAAACAGUGCAUGGUGGGUAGUUUGACUGGGGUGGUCGCCUCCAAAAAAGUAUCGGAGGCUUCUAAAGGUUCCCUCAGUACGCUUGGUAACCGUACGUAGAGUGCAAUGGCAUAAGGGAGCUUGACUGUGAGACAAACAAGUCGAUCAGGUACGAAAGUAGAGCAUAGUGAUCCGGUGGUUCCGCAUGGAAGGGCCAUCGCUCAAAGGAUAAAAGGUACGCCGGGGAUAACAGGCUGAUCUCCCCCAAGAGCUCACAUCGACGGGGAGGUUUGGCACCUCGAUGUCGGCUCGUCACAUCCUGGGGCUGGAGAAGGUCCCAAGGGUUCGGCUGUUCGCCGAUUAAAGUGGCACGCGAGCUGGGUUCAGAACGUCGUGAGACAGUUCGGUCCCUAUCUGUGAUGGGCGUAGGAAGUUUGAGUGGACCUGACCUUAGUACGAGAGGACCGGGUUGGACUAACCUCUGGUGUAUCUGUUGUGCCGCCAGGUGCAGUGCAGAGUAGCCACGUUGGGACGAGAUAAGCGCUGAAAGCAUCUAAGCGCGAAACUCACCACAAGAUGAGACUUCCAUACAGGGACGUCAGAGACUAUGACGUUGAUAGGCUGCAAGUGUAAAGUCAGAAAUGGCAUAGCUGAGCAGUACUAAUUACCCGAUAAUUUUCUU